rnacentral:rRNA from 1 species
AUGAUGUCGAGGACGCUCACAAUGACAACUCUAAGGUCAAGGCGCUUCGGGAGUACCGUCGUGCACAUGACAUGUGCUUCAAGUGCGGCGAAUGAUGGGGGGCGUGAUCACACCUUCCCCACCACAGUUCUACUCCAUGUUGUCGAAGUACUCCUAGAAUUGUUUGGGAUCGAUGCGGUAUUCGACGACCAAGAACAGCCGCCCAUGGAACCAAGCUACGACACGAACAUGGCUAUCUCCAUGAAACUCUUACCGGUGGCGUCUCUCCAAAAUCAUUUCAACUGCACGCAUGGCUCCAUAGCCAGGAGAUCUUCAUGCAUGUUGGUGGACUUUGGAAGCUCCACAUCCUUUGUGGAUGAUUAG